AACGAACGCUGGCGGCGUGCCUAACACAUGCAAGUCGAACGAAGCACUGUGGAAAGAGACUUCGGUCAAUGGACACUUUGACUUAGUGGCGGACGGGUGAGUAAUGCAUGAGCAAUCUGCCCUGGAGUGGGGGACAACAGUUGGAAACGACUGCUAAUACCGCAUGAUGUUCCGGGAGGGCAUCCUUCUGGAACCAAAGAUUUAUUGCUCUGGGAUGAGCUCAUGUCUGAUUAGCCAGUUGGCGGGGUAACGGCCCACCAAAGCUACGAUCAGUAGCCGGACUGAGAGGUUGAACGGCCACAUUGGGACUGAGAUACGGCCCAGACUCCUACGGGAGGCAGCAGUGGGGAAUAUUGGGCAUGGGCGCAGCCUGACCAACACGCCCGUGAAGAAGAAAGCUUUCGGUUGUAACUUCUUUUACCAGGGCGAAGAAAGUAAAGUACCUGGAGAUAACAAAGCUACUACUGCACAACCCCGCAUACUUAAUGGAAGGUGUCUCGAUUCUGGUGUAUGAGAGCGGAGAGAGCUAAUGGGUACGUGGUAACCUCUUGCGAGAGAUUUGGAGAAUAAAAAGGUUUUCAAGCAUGUGCUGUAUGCGGAUGUAUGUUAUGUAUGUAUGAUUAUGGUGUGUUGUGUAUGUAUGUGUGUGACUGUGUUUGUGUGAGCAUGCAUCUACGCU
rnacentral:rRNA from 1 species